ensembl:Y_RNA Y_RNA Y RNA
AGCUGGUCCAAAGGUAGUGAGUUAUCUCAAUUGAUUGCUCCCAGUUACAGAUCAAACUCCUUCUACUCUUUCCCCGCUUCUCACCACUGCACUUGACUAGUUUUAA